rnacentral:lncRNA from 1 species
AUGCUGCUGUACGUCGCCUUGGGGCUGCUCGUGCACCUCGUGUUCUUCGCCUCCAUCUUCGACAUUUAUUUCACCUCUCCUUUGGUUCAUGGAAUGACUCCUCGGUUUACGCCCCUGCCUCCCCCGGCAAAAAGACUGAUGCUGUUUGUUGCUGACGGCCUGCGAGCAGAUAAGCUUUAUGAAUUAGAUGAAGAUGGGAAUUCUAGGGCGCCAUUUCUUAGGAAUGUCAUAAUGAACGAAGGCAGCUGGGGGAUCUCUCACACGCAUGUGCCGACCGAGUCUCGGCCCGGGCACGUGGCCAUUAUUGCAGGGUUCUAUGAAGAUGUCAGCGCAGUUGCCAAAGGAUGGAAGGAAAAUCCUGUAGAAUUUGAUUCUCUUCUUAAUGAAACCAGGUACACAUGGUCCUGGGGAAGCCCAGACAUCCUGGCUAUGUUUGCCAAAGGUGACUCUGGAAACCAUAUUUUUACAGACAGUUAUGAUGCAUCCAGUGAGGAUUUUGGUGCCCACGAUGUAACAAAACUGGACACGUGGGUUUUUGAUCAUGUGAAGGAGUUCUUUCACGCUGCCAGAAACAACCAAUCUUUGCUUUCUAAACUAAACGGAGACAGAAUAGUCUUCUUCUUGCAUUUAUUAGGGAUAGACACAAAUGGACAUGCUCAUCGACCAACAUCAAGGGAAUAUUCAGACAAUAUUAAAUUAGUUGAUAAAGAAUUGAAAGAAAUUGAGGCUACUGUCAAAGACUUUUAUGGAAAUGACGGGAAAACAGCAUUUGUCUUCACCGCAGACCAUGGGAUGACCGACUGGGGCUCCCAUGGAGCCGGUCAUCCUUUAGAGACUUGUACUCCUUUUAUCGCUUGGGGAGCUGGAAUCAGGCUUCCCCAAAAAGUGUCAGCUCAGAACUUUGAUGACUCAUAUUUGCAAGAAUGGAAGUUGGAGAACUGGAAGAGACAAGAUAUUAAUCAGGCUGAUGUCGCACCGUUGAUGGCAGCUCUGAUUGGAGUUCCCUUCCCUCUUAACUCAGUGGGAAUCAUUCCUGUGGAUAUGCUUAAUACCUCUGAUCUCUUCAAAGCAGAGAGCAUGUUUACAAAUGCAGUACAGAUUCUUGAACAGUUCAAGGUAAAAAUGACUCAGAAAAAAGAAGCUACUUUGUCGUUUUUGUUUACACCAUUUAAGUCGCUAUCUGAUACUAAACAGGCCAACAUUUUAAGAAAAGCAAGAUACUAUAUAAAACAGAAGAAGUAUGAUGAAGCAGUCUCGCUCUGUCGGGAGCUGAUCGACCUCGCCCUGAGAGGCCUGGCCUACUACCACACCUACGACAGGCUCUUCCUGGCCUCCAACGUCGUCCUCGGCUUUGUGGGCUGGAUCUCUUACGCGUCUCUGUUGAUCAUCAAGUCUCACUGCAACCUUACGAGAGGCGUUAGCACAGAGGCCAAGGUAUGUUCAGAAAAAAUUCAGACGAUGCUGCCA